ensembl:lncRNA
GUUUGAUUAAUUAGGGCGGUGUUUAAUUGAUGGGGGGAUAUUUAAUUGAUCGGGGGGUGUUUGAUUAAUUAGGGCGGUGUUUGAUCGAUUGGGGGGUGUUUAAUUGAUCAGGAAGUGUUUGAUUAAUUAGGGCAGUGUUUGAUCGAUUGGGGGGUGUUUAAUUGAUCAGGAAGUGUUUGAUUAAUUAGGGCAGUGUUUGAUUGAUUGGGGGGUCGCGGGACACGCCCACCAUUGGGGGGGGAGGGGAUGGGGCUCAGCACCCCCAGGAUUCCCGGGAAAUCUCUAUCCCGGGAAGGGACCCUCCCCCUCAGCAUUCCCGGGAUCCCACACCCCCAGCAACCUCGGGAGACCCCCAUUUUCCAGGGAAGGGACCCUCCCCCUCAGCAUUCCCGGGAUCCUGCUCGUCCAGGAUCCUCUGGUGACGCCCAUAUUCCAAGGAAGGGACCCUCAGAAUUCCCAGGAUCCCGCACCCCCAGGAUCUUUGGGGAUCCCAUUUUCCAGGGAAGGGACCCUCCCCCUCAGCAUUCCCGGGAUCCCGCACCCUCAGCAUUCCCUGGGAACCCCCAUCCCUCCGUCCCAUCCCUCCCUCGCUUUUUCCAGGGAAAAAAGAGGGAAUAUGGCGGGUGGGGCAGGGGGGUGGGAUCUCCCCUGUGUCCCGCUGGGAAUCGGGGUGGGAAAAGGGGUCGCAGCCCUUUGGGGGGUGGAUCGGGCCCCCCAUUCCCACUGCCAUGGGCGGGGUGGGAUCGCCGGGAUCGGGAUGGUUUCUCUGGGAUCAGGAUUGUCUGGCUGGGGUCAGGAUGGGCUCACCGGGAUCAGGAUCAGGUCCCUGGGAUCAGGAUUGUCUGGCUGGGAUUGGGAUUGUCUGGCUGGGAUCGGGAUGGGCUCACCAGGAUCAGGAUCAGCUCACUGGGAUCGGGAUCACCUCGCCGGGAUUGGGAUGGUCUUGCCAGGAUUGGGAUUGUGUGGUUGGGAUCAGGAUGGUCUCUCUGGGAUCAGGAUGGGCUCGCCAGGAUCGGGAUCACCUCCCUGGGAUCGGGAUGGUCUGGCUGGGAUCAGGAUAACUUCUCUGGGAUCGGGAUGGGCUCACCGGGAUCGGGAUGGGCUCACCGGGAUCGGGAUGGGCUCACCGGGAUUGGGAUGGGCUCACUGGGAUCGGGAUGGGCUCACCGGGAUCGGGAUGGGCUCACUGGGAUCAGGAUGGUCUGGCUGAGAUUGGGAUAGUCUGGCUGGGAUCAGGAUGAGCUCGCCGGGAUCAGGAUGGUCUCUCUGGGAUCAGGAUGGGCUCGCUGGGAUCGGGAUGGGCUCACCGGGAUCGGGAUGGACUCACUGGGAUCAGGAUGGUCUGGCUGAGAUUGGGAUAGUCUGGCUGGGAUCAGGAUGAGCUCGCCGGGAUCAGGAUGGUCUCUCUGGGAUCAGGAUGGGCUCGCUGGGAUCGGGAUGGUCUCACCAGGAUCGGGAUUGUCUCACUGGGGUCAGGAUGGGCUCCCUGGGAUCAGGAUCAGGUCCCUGGGAUCGGGAUGGUCUGGCUGGGAUCGGGAUGGUCUGGCUGGGAUCGGGAUGGUCUGGCUGGGAUUGGGAUGGUCUGCUUGAGAUCAGG